rnacentral:miRNA from 1 species
UUUAUCUCUACUCGCUCGUCU